UACGGGGGGGGUAAGCGUUGUUCGGAAUUACUGGGCGUAAAGGGCUCGUAGGCGGCCAACUAAGUCAUACGUGAAAUCCCUCAGCUUAACUGGGGAACUGCGUGUGAUACUGGAUGGCUUGGAUUUGGGAGAGGGAUGUGGAAUUCCAGGUGUAGCGGUGAAAUGCGUAGAUAUCUGGAGGAACACCGGUGGCGAAGGCGGCAUCCUGGACCGGUAUUGACGCUGAGGCGCGAAAGCCAGGGGAGCAAACGGG
rnacentral:rRNA from 1 species